GGGCCGGUAGCUUAGUUGGUAGAGCGUCGCUUUUGCAUAGCGAAGGUCGGGAGUUCGAAUCUCCUCCGGUCCA
rnacentral:tRNA from 1 species